rnacentral:rRNA from 1 species
UACGGAGGGUGCAAGCGUUGCUCGGAUUUAUUGGGCGUAAAGGGUAGGUAGGUAGUCUUAUUUGUCUAGGGUGAAAUCCUUGAGCUUAACUCAAGAAGUGCCCUAGAAACGGUAAGACUAGAGUCCUGGAGAGGGUCGUGGAAUUCCCGGUGUAGCGGUGAAAUGCGUAGAGAUCGGGAGGAACACCAGAGGCGAAGGCGGCGACCUGGACAGGUACUGACACUAAACUACGAAAGCGUGGGGAGCAAACAGG